rfam:Nicotiana attenuata strain TT chromosome 3, whole genome shotgun sequence.
UGGACAGAUUAUUGUAUUCGACUGUAUUCACAGCGUGAAAUAGGGGAUUACACUGUUUUUAAAACGGAAAGUGAAUCAAUUAACAUAAUAGACUCCU